CAGCCGCCGCGGUAAUACGUAGGGUGCAAGCGUUAAUCGGAAUUACUGGGCGUAAAGCGUGCGCAGGCGGUUAUAUAAGUCAGAUGUGAAAUCCCCGGGCUCAACCUGGGAACUGCAUCUGAGACUGUAUGGCUAGAGUGUGUCAGAGGGGGGUAGAAUUCCACGUGUAGCAGUGAAAUGCGUAGAUAUGUGGAGGAAUACCGAUGGCGAAGGCAGCCCCCUGGGAUAACACUGACGCUCAUGCACGAAAGCGUGGGGAGCAAACAGGAUUAGAUACCCCAGUAGUCCCUGUCUCUUAUAC
rnacentral:rRNA from 1 species